rnacentral:rRNA from 1 species
AUUGAACGCUGGCGGCAUGCCUUACACAUGCAAGUCGAACGGUAACAGGCCGCAAGGUGCUGACGAGUGGCGAACGGGUGAGUAAUGCAUCGGAACGUGCCCAGUCGUGGGGGAUAACGCAGCGAAAGCUGCGCUAAUACCGCAUACGAUCUAUGGAUGAAAGCGGGGGACCGCAAGACCUCGCGCGAUUGGAGCGGCCGGUGGCAGAUUAGGUAGUUGGUGGGGGAAAGGCUCACCAAGCCGACGAUCUGUAGCUGGUCUGAGAGGACGACCAGCCACACUGGGACUGAGACACGGCCCAGACUCCUACGGGAGGCAGCAGUGGGGAAUUUUGGACAAUGGGCGCAAGCCUGAUCCAGCAAUGCCGCGUGCAGGAAGAAGGCCUUCGGGUUGUAAACUGCUUUUGUACGGAACGAAGCGGUCCUGGUUAAUACCCGGGGCUAAUGACGGUACCGUAAGAAUAAGCACCGGCUAACUACGUGCCAGCCGCCGCCGUAAAAC